GCUGAAGUAGCUCAGUUGGGGGAGUGCCAGACUGAAGAUCUACAGGUCCCUGGUUCAAUCCUGGCCUUCAGCA
rfam:Chelonia mydas contig128759, whole genome shotgun sequence.